GAUGAACGCUGGCGGCGUGCCUAAUACAUGCAAGUCGAGCGAACAGACGAGGAUCUUGCUCCUCUGACGUUAGCGGCGGACGGGUGAGUAACACGUGGAUAACCUACCUAUAAGACUGGGAUAACUUCGGGAAACCGGAGCUAAUACCUGAUAAUUUCUUGAACCGCAUGGUUCAAUAGUGAAAGACGGUUUUGCUGUCACUUAUAGAUGGAUCCGCGCCGCAUUAGCUAGUUGGUAAGGUAACGGCUUACCAAGGCAACGAUGCAUAGCCGACCUGAGAGGGUGAUCGGCCACACUGGAACUGAGACACGGUCCAGACUCCUACGGGAGGCAGCAGUAGGGAAUCUUCCGCAAUGGGCGAAAGCCUGAAGGAGCAACGCCGCGUGAGUGAUGAAGGUCUUCGGAUCGUAAAACUCUGUUAUUAGGGAAGAACAAAUGUGUAAGUAACUAUGCACGUCUUGACGGUACCUAAUCAGAAAGCCACGGCUAACUACGUG
rnacentral:rRNA from 1 species